rnacentral:lncRNA from 1 species
UUUUCUCCCAUCCUCCUCCUCUGAACCACACCUCAUAACACAAGGUGAACUGAAUGACCUUGUCAGGGAUUUGGAACUACCCAGGAGUAAGACAGAGCUGUUGGGCUCCAGACUACAGCAGUGGAAUCUCCUGGCAGGUGAUGUUAGGGUUUCCAUUUUCCAUGACCGUCAAAAGGAUCUUGUCCCAUUCUUCUUCAUGGAAGGUGAUCUUGUAGCCUGCAACAACAUCGAUGGUGUGAUGGCAGCCCUCAACAUCGUUCACGAUCCAGAUGAGUGGAGACUGUUCAUUGAUUCAUCGAAGACGAGUCUUAAAGCUGUUUUACUGCAUAAUGGCAAUGUUAUGCCAUCAAUUCCAGUUGGUCAUGCAGUCCAUAUGAAGGAAACCUAUGACAACAUGAAACAACUUUUGAGGUGCAUAAACUAUGACCAACAUCAGUGGCAGCUUUGUGGCGAUUUGAAGGUUGUUGCUCUCUUGCUUGGUCUGCAGACUGGAUACACAAAGUACUGCUGUUUUCUCUGUGAAUGGGAUAGUCAUGCAAGAGAUUCCCACUACAUCAAGAAAGAUUGGCCACUCCGACAGUCAUUGGAGCCUGUGAGGAAAAGUGUUCAGCAUCCACCACUUUUUGAAUCAAGGAAGAUUUUGUUACCACCUUUACACAUCAAGCUGGGUCUGAUGAAGAACUUUGUCAAGGCCAUUGACAAAACACAAGCAGCUUUCAAGUACCUCCGUGGAAAAUUUCCAAGGUUAAGUGAAGCUAAGAUAAAGGAAGGUGUCUUUGUUGGUCCUCAGAUUCGUGAACUUCUUCGAGAUGAUGCAUUUGACCAUGCACUGCGUGGCAAGGAAAAGACGGCAUGGAAAGCCUUCCAGUUAGUGGCAAUAAAUUUUCUCGGAAACAACAAGGCAGACAACUACAGGUUGUUCGUGGAAAACCUCCUCAGGGCAUACAAAAGCUUUGGUUGCAACAUGUCACUAAAGAUACAUUUUUUGCACUCUCAUCUAGAUUUUUUUUCCACCGAACUGCGGAGCAGUGAGCGACGAGCACGGCGAGCGAUUUGACCAGGAUAUUGCAACAAUGGAGAAACGCUAUCAGGGCAAAUGGAGCCCAUCAAUGCUUGCAGAUUAUUGCUGGACAAUGACAAGAGAUGCUCCAUUUAAUGAAUACAAGAG